CGGGGCGUAGCGCAGCCUGGUAGCGCACUUGCAUGGGGUGCAAGGGGUCGCGAGUUCGAAUCCCGCCGCCCCUACCA
rnacentral:tRNA from 1 species